GACGAACGCUGGCGGCGUGCUUAACACAUGCAAGUCGAACGGAAAGGCCCUGCUUUUGUGGGGUGCUCGAGUGGCGAACGGGUGAGUAACACGUGAGUAACCUGCCCUUGACUUUGGGAUAACUUCGGGAAACUGGGGCUAAUACCGGAUAGGAGCUCCUGCUGCAUGGUGGGGGUUGGAAAGUUUCGGCGGUUGGGGAUGGACUCGCGGCUUAUCAGCUUGUUGGUGGGGUAGUGGCUUACCAAGGCUUUGACGGGUAGCCGGCCUGAGAGGGUGACCGGCCACAUUGGGACUGAGAUACGGCCCAGACUCCUACGGGAGGCAGCAGUGGGGAAUACUGCACAAUGGGCGGAAGCCUGAUGCAGCAACGCCGCGUGCGGGAUGACGGCCUUCGGGUUGUAAACCGCUUUCGCCUGUGACGAAGCGUGAGUGACGGUAAUGGGUAAAGAAGCACCGGCUAACUACGUGCCAGCAGCCGCGGUGAUACGUAGGGUGCGAGCGUUGUCCGGAUUUAUUGGGCGUAAAGGGCUCGUAGGUGGUUGAUCGCGUCGGAAGUGUAAUCUUGGGGCUUAACCCUGAGCGUGCUUUCGAUACGGGUUGACUUGAGGAAGGUAGGGGAGAAUGGAAUUCCUGGUGGAGCGGUGGAAUGCGCAGAUAUCAGGAGGAACACCAGUGGCGAAGGCGGUUCUCUGGGCCUUUCCUGACGCUGAGGAGCGAAAGCGUGGGGAGCGAACAGGCUUAGAUACCCUGGUAGUCCACGCUGUAAACGGUGGGUACUAGGUGUGGGGUCCAUUCCACGGGUUCCGUGCCGUAGCUAACGCUUUAAGUACCCCGCCUGGGGAGUACGGCCGCAAGGCUAAAACUCAAAGGAAUUGACGGGGCCCCGCACAAGCGGCGGAGCAUGCGGAUUAAUUCGAUGCAACGCGUAGAACCUUACCUGGGUUUGACAUGGAUCGGGAGUGCUCAGAGAUGGGUGUGCCUCUUUUGGGGUCGGUUCACAGGUGGUGCAUGGCUGUCGUCAGCUCGUGUCGUGAGAUGUUGGGUUAAGUCCCGCAACGAGCGCAACCCUUGUUCACUGUUGCCAGCACGUUAUGGUGGGGACUCAGUGGAGACCGCCGGGGUCAACUCGGAGGAAGGUGGGGAUGACGUCAAGUCAUCAUGCCCCUUAUGUCCAGGGCUUCACGCAUGCUACAAUGGCUGGUACAGAGAGUGGCGAGCCUGUGAGGGUGAGCGAAUCUCGGAAAGCCGGUCUCAGUUCGGAUUGGGGUCUGCAACUCGACCUCAUGAAGUCGGAGUCGCUAGUAAUCGCAGAUCAGCAACGCUGCGGUGAAUACGUUCCCGGGGCU
rnacentral:rRNA from 1 species